rnacentral:rRNA from 1 species
GACGUAGGGCGCGAGCGUUGUCCGGAUUUAUUGGGCGUAAAGAGCUCGUAGGCGGCUUGUUGCGUCGGCUGUGAAAACCCGUGGCUUAACUGCGGGCUUGCAGCUGAUACGGGCGGGCUGGAGUUCGGUAGGGGAGACUGGAAUUCCUGGUGUAGCGGUGAAAUGCGCAGAUAUCAGGAGGAACACCGGUGGCGAAGGCGGGUCUCUGGGCCGAUACUGACGCUGAGGAGCGAAAGCGUGGGUAGCAAACGGG